rnacentral:rRNA from 1 species
UACGUAGGGUGCAAGCGUUGUCCGGAAUUAUUGGGCGUAAAGAGCUCGUAGGCGGUUUGUCGCGUCUGCUGUGAAAAUCCAGGGCUUAACCCUGGACCUGCAGUGGGUACGGGCAGACUGGAGUGCGGUAGGGGAGAUCGGAAUUCCUGGUGUAGCGGUGAAAUGCGCAGAUAUCAGGAGGAACACCGAUGGCGAAGGCAGAUCUCUGGGCCGUAACUGACGCUGAGGAGCGAAAGCAUGGGGAGCGAACAGG